rnacentral:rRNA from 1 species
UACGUAGGGGGCAAGCGUUGUCCGGAAUCACUGGGCGUAAAGCGCGCGCAGGCGGUCAUCUACGUCUGGGGUGAAAGCCCGGAGCUCAACUCCGGGAUUGCCUUGGAUACGGGAUGACUUGAGGAUCGGAGAGGCAAGGGGAAUUCCACGUGUAGCGGUGAAAUGCGUAGAUAUCGGGAGGAACACCAGAGGCGAAGGCGGCUUUCUGGCCUGUAACUGACGCUGAGGCGCGAAGGCUGGGGUAGCGAACAGG